rnacentral:rRNA from 1 species
AGAUUGAACGCUGGCGGCAGGCCUAACACAUGCAAGUCGAGCGGCAGCACGGGUACUUGUACCUGGUGGCGAGCGGCGGACGGGUGAGUAAUGCCUAGGAAUCUGCCUGAUAGUGGGGGAUAACGUUCGGAAACGGACGCUAAUACCGCAUACGUCCUACGGGAGAAAGUGGGGGAUCUUCGGACCUCACGCUAUCAGAUGAGCCUAGGUCGGAUUAGCUAGUUGGUAGGUAAAGGCCUACCAAGGCUACGAUCCGUAACUGGUCUGAGAGGAUGAUCAGUCACACUGGAACUGAGACACGGUCCAGACUCCUACGGGAGCAGCAGUGGGGAAUGUUGACAAUGGGCGAAAGCCUGAUCCAGCCAUGCCGCGUGUGUGAAGUAAGGUCUUCGGAAUUGUAAAGCAACUUUUUAAGGUUAGGGAAGGAAGGGACUAAGUUAAACCUAAUUACGUUAGUUGUUUUAGUACGUUACCGA